rnacentral:tRNA from 1 species
GCCUUCGUGGUGUAAUGGUCAGCACACUCGACGCGUAUUCGAUAGGUUCAAAUCCCGGCGAGGGCA